rnacentral:rRNA from 1 species
GGGGAAUAUUGCGCAAUGGGGGAAACCCUGACGCAGCAACGCCGCGUGAAGGAAGAAGGCCUUCGGGUUGUAAACUUCUUUAGUCGGGGACGAAGGAUGACGGUACCCGAAGAAUAAGCCACGGCUAACUACGUGCCAGCAGCCGCGGUAAUACGUAGGUGGCGAGCGUUGUCCGGAAUUACUGGGUGUAAAGGGCGUGUAGGUGGGUUGUCAAGUCAGAUGUGAAAUUCCAGAGCUCAACUCUGGCGCUGCAACUGAAACUGAUGAUCUUGAGUACUGGAGAGGGAAGCGGAAUUCCUAGUGUAGCGGUGAAAUGCGUAGAUAUUAGGAGGAACACCAGUGGCGAAGGCGGCUUUCUGGACGGUAACUGACGCUGAGGCGCGAAAGCGUGGGGAGCAAAC